rnacentral:tRNA from 1 species
CAUUAGAUGGCUGAAAGUUAAGCAAUGGAAUUUUAAGCCAUUUAAUAGUAAAUAACAACUACUUCUAAUG